rfam:TPA: Bos taurus chromosome 6, whole genome shotgun sequence.
UCCCUUGUGGCUCAGCUGGUAAAGAAUCCGCCUGCAACGCGGGAGACCUGGGUUCGAUCCCUGGGUUGGGAA